rnacentral:rRNA from 1 species
GAUGAACGCUGGCGGCGUGCUUAACACAUGCAAGUCGAACGAUGAAGCCCAGCUUGCUGGGUGGAUUAGUGGCGAACGGGUGAGUAACACGUGAGUAACCUGCCCUUAACUCUGGGAUAAGCCUGGGAAACUGGGUCUAAUACCGGAUAGGAGCGCCUACCGCAUGGUGGGUGUUGGAAAGAUUUAUCGGUUUUGGAUGGACUCGCGGCCUAUCAGCUUGUUGGUGAGGUAAUGGCUCACCAAGGCGACGACGGGUAGCCGGCCUGAGAGGGUGACCGGCCACACUGGGACUGAGACACGGCCCAGACUCCUACGGGAGGCAGCAGUGGGGAAUGUUGCACAAUGGGCGCAAGCCUGAUGCAGCGACGCCGCGUGAGGGAUGACGGCCUUCGGGUUGUAAACCUCUUUCAGUAGGGAAGAAGCGAAAGUGACGGUACCUGCAGAAGAAGCACCGGCUAACUACGUG